rnacentral:rRNA from 1 species
UUGUAGUCUGCAACUCGACUACAUGAAGCCGGAAUCGCUAGUAAUCGCGGAUCAGAAUGCCGCGGUGAAUACGUUCCCGGGUCUUGUACACACCGCCCGUCACACCAUGGGAGCCGGAAAUGCCCGAAGUCAGUGACCCAACCGCGAGGAGGGAGCUGCCGAAGGCAGGUCUGGUAACUGGGGUGAAGUCGUAACAAGGUAUC